ACGGUCCUAAGGUAGCGAAAUUCCUUGUCAGGUAAGUUCUGACCCGCACGAAAGGCGUAACGAUUUGGGCGCUGUCUCAGCUGUAGACUCGGUGAAGUCUUAGUACCUGUGAAGAUGCAGGUUACCCGCGACUAGACGGAAAGACCCCAUGGAGCUUCACUGCAGGUUGAUAUUGGGAUUUGAUGCAGCAUGUACAGGAUAGGUAGGAGGCAAAGAGAUGGAUACGCCAGUAUUCAAGGAGCCGCUGUUGGGAUACUACCCCUGUUGUAUUGGAUUUCUAACCGGACGACGUAGAGCCGUUGACGGGACAGUGUCAGUCGGGCAGUUUGACUGGGGCGGUCGCCUCCCAAAGAGUAACGGAGGCGCCCAAAGAUACCCUCAGCUUGGAUGGAAACCAAGCGCAGAGUGCAAAGGCAAAAGGGUGUUUGACUGCGAGACCUACAAGUCGAGCAGGGACGAAAGUCGGGCUUAGUGAUCCGGCGGUGCUGAAUGGAAAGGCCGUCGCUCAACGGAUAAAAGCUACCCUGGGGAUAACAGGCUGAUCUCCCCCAAGAGUCCACAUCGACGGGGAGGUUUGGCACCUCGAUGUCGGCUCAUCGCAUCCUGGGGCUGUAUUCGGUCCCAAGGGUUUGGCUGUUCGCCAAUUAAAGCGGUACGCGAGCUGGGUUCAGAACGUCGUGAGACAGUUCGGUCCCUAUCUGUCGUGGGCGCAGGAAAUUUGAGAAGAGCUGUCCUCAGUACGAGAGGACCGGGAUGGACGCAUCAAUGGUGGACCAGUUGUCACGCCAGUGGCAUAGCUGGGUAGCUAAAUGCGGAAGGGAUAAACGCUGAAGGCAUCUAAGUGUGAAACCCACUUCAAGAUGAGAUUUCCCAUUGCGCAAGCAAGUAAGACCCCUUAAAGACGAUAAGGUAGAUAGGUCAGGAGUGUAAGCAUGGUGACAUGUUAAGCGGACUGAUACUAAUAGGUCGAGGGCUUGACCGA
rnacentral:rRNA from 1 species